CGAGGCCAGUGGCAGUACACCUCCUGGCCCGAAGAAAAUCAGUACUACAAGCCACGUCCACGCCCGUUACUCCACGCUGCUUCCCAUGUGUACUGCACCAACCUGAACCUGUACUGCUGCUGCUGCUUCUUGGUCCUCCAAAGUCCCAAGCGUCGCGCGCCACGGCGAGGGCGAGGCCGGGUACAAAUAGGCCCCCGCCUCCAGCCGACGGAGGCAGCGCCACCGCAGCAGCAGCAGCAGCAGCUGCCGUCUCACCGGCGUCUGCGUUCGUUUGGGUGUUUUUGGCCGGAGCAGCAGCGGUGGAAGGGGCAUGCAGAGGAGCGGCCAUGCAUGGGAGCUUUGCUUUGCUUGCCUCUCCUGCUCUGGGCUCUAGCUCUCUCCUGUGCCUGCCUCUUCCAUUCCUGCCGCUAAUGGCCGGCCGUGUCUCCACGCGAUGAUGAUGGGAGGUUUUCUGCUGGGCGUGCGAUUCCCAAUCCCUGACCGCGCUGUAAGUUCGUCGCCCACGCUCUUGAAAUCCCUGAUUUUUCCUGUGUUUUAACUGCCCGUUUGAUCGUUUCAGCGGACCGUAGUACGGGGUCAUGCUGGGUUUCUUCAUUGACUUGGCCGGCCGUAUCACCAUCUCGUUGGGUGUUGUCUCCAAGUCAUGCAUGGUUUGGUUUGGGAUUUGAUUUGUGGCGUAUUCGUGUUGCUAGUGGCCUAGUACCGGCAUGUGCGCAGCGUUCCAGUCAUCGUUUGUGUGGAAUGGACUCACCCAAAGCUUACAUUGUGCCUCACAUUGAACGCCUUGCAGUCUCAUUCCGUUGGAGUAAUAUGUUGGAGAUCAUUAGCUAUACAAUUGUUUAUCUUCACACACACAAAGUACUGUACCUGAUCUCUUUUAGAUAUUUAAAAAGAAAUAAAUUCCAUGAUGGAAUGGUAAGAUUUUCUUUUUUGAAGAGUACGCCUAGAUGUACCUUAGUUUUAUAAAUACUUACAAGAAACUACACUCGCUGCGAACAGUGAGCAU
rnacentral:lncRNA from 1 species